AUGAAAGGAAGAGAGGAAGACUGAAGACAAAACACCAACUUAAUUCUAACCUAACUCAGCAAACAAAACAAAACAUUUCAUUACAAUACAAAACAAAUUACAAAAUCCGUCGCGCGACCAGUGGUGGCCAGUUUACUCACGGUGUGGAUUUAUUUAUUUAUUGGCCAACAAAUUGCCAUUUUGAGGGAAAGUACACGAUUUAUGUAAAAUGUACCUAUGACAACUAACUUGUUGAGUAGGCUACACAAGUACAGUAGUGAAAAUAAACUAUGGAAGCAACAAGAGUAUCAAGAACAAGACAUAACCUCAAAUCAGUCAACUUAAGUGUGCUGAUAUUUUGUUUAGUGUGUGCCACUGUUAGUUUAGAGUUGUUAUUUUUGUGACUGGGUAUUGGAAUAACCUACACCGAACAUCUUUUCACGUUUUGAUCCUUGGAGUAUUUGAUAACUCUGCAGCUUUGGUGGAAGUUAUUAUUUGGUAGCAGUGAAUAAUUUGCCUACGGUACCAAUUCUCCCUAGUGACAAAGUGGCUGUCUAGCAGCCUGUAGGCUGGGAAGGAGGAAUAAAUUUUUCUUUUGCAAUCUGCAUCUGAAGCCAGCUAUCUUGCAGGCAGAACCGGUACGCAAGAACACUAGGAUCGUGGUGUAAUGGAAAUAUAUGUUGUUGCUACUAUAAUCAAGAAUUGGCUUCGCCCAGCAAAGUUUAGGAUUGAUGCAAGGAACAAUAGAAAACUCAAGAAGGCCAUUUGGGAGAUGAAGAAGACCAGAAUUAUUUUUUUUGUAAAUUGUACAUAUCUUUUUUAUAUUUGUGUUUAAAUAAUUUUUAAUUAAACUUAUUUUAUCAUACA